GGACCACUCAUCAUGCAAAGUGUCGUAGGUCCAGACAUCUUUGGAGGCCCCGUUCUCAGAGCCGCGCCCUCCAGUGACAUAUACCUGCAACACAAGGAACCGGACUUCCAGGACCAUUCUUCAAGGUCUCAGAUGUUCAGGUUUGUCCUCCAAGCAGCAACAAGGCCUGGCUAACCUUUCGGGGCCGGGCGCAGAAUCCCGUCACGAUGCCGUCGUUCUGGAGGAUCCUCAUCUUGCACCGCACGGCGUCUUCCACAAUCUCUCGGCCCACCUUGUGACACAUGACCAGCUCUUCUGAAGCCACGUUGUUGAGGAGGUACGUCUCGGGUAGAAGCGCCAGACGGACACAGCGCAGCAGCUCUGGCAGCUCGCUGUGUCUCUGCUCCAUGUCGGCCUUGACCCAAUCAAUGACAGCUUCGUACACCAGGCUCUCGUCCUCUACCUCCAGCUCUUCGCUGAGGAUCAACUCGUGCACUUUGUCUCUGGGAAGGUUCAGGAAGUCCUCGGUUUUGUAAAGGGUCGCAAAGUUUCCCAGACACAUGCUCCACGACAGCUCGUACAGUCUCUGGCACUGGUGGGCGUCUGACAGCAACAUCAUCCCCAGACAGUUGGACUGAUGGAGAUUCUUUUCUAGAAACUCUGACGCCGCAUCCCUGAUGUCAUGGAACUGAAGCAUAUCUCCGGCCUCAAGCAAGGACUCUGCGUUUUCCUCAUUGAUGAUGAUUCGGGCUGAGUAGGCGUAAUCGAGCAGCAGUUCCAGCACCUCUGGAUGGAGAGAGUCGUGGAAGUUGACUUCGGCGUCACGGCUCUCCCUCAGUCCGCCGCUGAACAUAGCCUCAAAGUAGCGACUGCAGGAUGCCAGGACGGCCCGGUGGCAGGGGAAGGCCCGGUUUCCGGCUUUCAGGACGACAUCUGUGAAGACUUUACGCUUGCGAAGUAAGUUGAGCUGUGUCAAGAGGCUGUCGGCAUGUGACGUCUUGUGGAACAGUUGAAUGUUCAUAGAGCCGGAACUGGACCGAGACUUUCGGUUUUCGUGGCUAGUGACGGACAUUUUGGAUUUCAAGCUGGCGAGAAACAAAAAUAGAAGAGAUGUAAGAAAUUAGAACACCUUGGUUUACAACAGUGUUCAGUUUUAUUCUAUUGAUUUAUUGAUGGGACAAACACCCUUCCUGACUAAACAAGGUAGUUGCCAACAACAGAUUGUUGGGCAGUGAUAAAACUCAGUUUGAUUUGUAGUUACGGAAAUGAACUUUAGACUUUUAGGAGUUAAAAGGCAGGCCGACAGACGCUUCCACAGACAUGAUCAAUAAACCUAGGAGAAUGGCCAUACAACUAGCCUACACACACACACACACACACUUGUUACUAAUGACACCGGUGUGCCUCCUUAUAUCACAUUUUUCCACCCCUAUAAACAUUUCAAGGCUGCGAGUGAAAUCCAGCCACUGUGACAGCCAAUGAAUUACCCUGCUGCCUUUCGAACUGCAGGCAGUGUUUCAAAACCUGUCAGAAAUAGACGGCAGUCAAUUCCUCUCCUUUCACAGAGCAGUCCAAUAACUGGGCUGAUUAUUAGACUCCAAGGUAACUUUUUUUUGCCACACCUUUUUCAGGACCAUAAUUUUACAGGUAUGUUGCAAUAACGUAUGUUCUUCUAAAAAUGUAGAAGCACCAGGGUUUCCCAAAGGUUGUUCAGUAAAAAUGUAUGAGACCACCUGUCGUGUCAUAUCAUGUCAUCACCGUAGGACUUUAAUGCGGACCUGCUCAGUUUCAGUGAGCUCUUAACCUUUUCCCCCACUCUGAGGAAUUUUUAAACAAUUCACCUUUUCAUCAAUUAAGUAUAAGAUCCGAUCAUUUUUAACAACAUCGGUCACAAUAUUAACAAUACUGGUAUCUCUAUACACCUUUCAGUGUUGCUCUGCAAAUAUCUUCCAUUGCCACGCAUGGAGCAGCGAUUUGAACUCUUGUCUAAAUUGUGAUUCGGACAGCUAUUACUGAUAACCACUGCACUACUCUCAAGAAUAACAUUCAACUUUUUCUGUUCAGGAAUGCAUGUUAAUCACCAAUAUUUGACAGAUUAAUCAAGAAAUAAUAAUCCACCCAAUUUCUAUUUAUAUUACGCUUAUGCUCAUUAGUAUUGCGAGUGAUCUGGAGCCUGUUCCAGCUGACUUUUUAAUGUGAUACAUUCUAAAAAUCAUCAAACCAUCUAUUCCACCGUGCUGCUCCCAAUCAUUAUAUUCAGCCACCAAAAGUAAACAGAAUAGAAUAAAUGUGUAUUUCAAGAACCUUUCACCCCACCGCUUUAAGAGUGACAUUUUUAUGCAAGCAGUCUUCAAAAACUGGCCCAUUUUGACAAAUUUAAAGCCAUUUUUGCUCUUUGUAAUUACAAACCAACCCGAAAGUCGUAAAGUAGUAAUAAACUCUACAUGGCACCGAGCGCUCCACUCGCCUCCAUUCUAUCUUUUGUUCCACGCCGGAUCACAUUAAGUCGUCUUUUGAAUUUCACUGGACUGUGCGGGCUUUGCGUGGACGGACUCGGCGUGAAAUCCAAAUGGGUUUUGUGCAACCCCCCCAAAAAUGAAAUCGCGCUCAUGAGGACGGAAAUCUGUGCGUGUGCGGACGACACAACUUGUCAAGCAUGCAGGAAAGUCAAGUAAACACUUCAUGGACACAAACUUACCUUUAAACAGAUGGCCGCGACGCGUCUCCGGAUUUUUACUGUCGACUUUCGACGACUCCACGCAAAAGUUCUUCGUGUUCUUUUGAUCGCUAUUCAAGCAAACCAGCUUUCCCAGUUUAAGACUAAUCUGUGAGUUAAAAAGUCUGAAUGCUUGUCAGCCAUUUGUCACAAACCCGAGGAAAGUUUCGGCGAGGAGAAAAAGUUAGGGAGCUAGUCAGGAUCUACCACGGCAAGCGUUGAGUAAAUGAAGAGGAGAAAGGAGGAGCACACAGCAGCAGUUUGCGGUGUUUUCUGGCUCCGCCCCUCUAUGCAGUUUUUGACCAAUCACAUUCAAGAAUCGAGGUGCUCCACUCUUCACAACCCCCAUAGGGCCACUGAAUUAGGUACACUAAACAAACUCAAUGCAGUAUAGCUUCCGGCUAGCAAGUGUCAUGGCGAGUCUAAUGUUAAACAAUAAGUGAGUGGGAUCAGUGUGAGAUUAGUUGGCGCUCAGUGACGGUGUGGAUGAUUAUUGGUCUCUGUGUGUCCUGCGAUUGGCGUGAUCUGGGAUAGUUUCAUUGGAUAUUGUUUCAAACUGGGGUUAUGGUUUUGAAGUAGGGUUGCAAACUAGGGUUAGGGUUUCAGAGUAGGGUUAGGGUUAGGGUUAGUUUCAAAUUAGAUUUAGGGUUUACAGAUUAUGGCCCACAUAAAUGUUGGAUUAUGAUUUGCAAAACAGUGAUCCCUCGCUAUUUCGCGUUUCGUUUAUCGCAGAUUCACUACAUUGCGGAUAUUUUUUCCAAAUUAAAAAAACAUUUAAAAGUAAAAAAAAACGGAUGUCUAAUCUAUAGGACAAUGUAGUAUUACUCCAAAUGUUCGUUUACAUUCCUUGAGAAAUCCGUUUUUGGGUGUUAGCACGGUCGCGAAUUACCAUAUUUACGCUAACUUGUUAGUCUGCCCAGUACUUCUUGUUGGUAACCGUACUUCACGGAUUUCACUUAUCGCGGGUGGGUUUGGGAACCUAUUAUACGCGAUAAACGAGGGAUUACUGUACUUUACCCCGGUUUAAUUUUUAACAUCACAAAAACCUGACAUUUGACUAAACUAAAAAACUUGCUAUGAAAUCAGUAACCUCCCUCCCACCAUCCGCCUGUCCGUCGCCAUAAUUCUCUGGAAUUCCUCACUAUCAGCAUGUCCGGGAUUAACCUUGUCCUUGCUCAUGUGCCAGCUCCACAUAACCAGAAGUCUUUAAUGAUCAUAUGAUGGCAAGUUCAAGCACCGCUGUGAACCAUGAGAUUGUUUCUCAGGCAGAAUUCCUCGCAUUCUCCGAAGAAUUGAAAUGCUUGCAAGCUCUGUGAAAGUUCCAAGGCGGCCGUCACGUCAAGGUGGAUGCAGCAUCAACAUGCACGUACUUUUAGAGGCUGCUUUUAAUCGUGAAAAUUGCUAUAAACAAUUGCGUAUCAACAUGUAAGGUCCCGGUUGUCACUUUUACACACACUGCAACAAUCCAAGGCCAUCAUUAAAGUGCUGGGAUACAUAGUUGUUGACUGUGUCAGACAAUCUCAAAAGACAUUUUGUUCUGUGAUGCCAGUUGACUUCCCACUUAAAUUCAAAACACGUUUUCCUCAUGGAAUAAAACCUUCAGCAAUCAUACGGGUGACAUCUUUAACUCCCCAAGCAAUGUUUAUGCGGCGUAAUACUGCCAUACUACUGUAACACAAAUAGAAAUAAACAAAAACAUAAGAAAGCCAAAUAAAUAGAAAAAUACAGCAAGCAACAAAUUGCACCACACCAUAAACCUAAACAAAAAGGAACCCUAAAUAAUGUUACUGUUCCUGCCUAUGAUUCGGAUGAAUCGGAAAUUCAAGAUUCUUUUCUUUUGGUGUUGAUAAAUCUGAUAGACGAGAGCUGGACUGAAAAGAGGAAGAAGUGUGGGCAUGUCCCAACAUGUCUGACAGGGUAAUUAAGUCAAUUUUUACAUUUCAACCUGACAGUCUUAGGCAUAGCAUGGCUCUAUCAAAGCAAAGCAUAAUUUAAAAUAUAAAUUAAUAAUAAUAAUGCACUGAUUCAGGUCAAUUCAAUAUGACAGACUUGCUGUAUUGUCACAUUUAAGGUCGUGGUGUGGGGGUGGUGGGCCUUCCCUAGAACAGCUACCAGCUAAUCUUCUAACACUACAAGAUCUGCUGCUGUUGCUGCUACUCAGGUUUCAUCCUGCAGCCUGCUGACACUCAGCAGCUGCUUUUUUGGGGAGAUUAAAAAGCUGCUGCUGCUUCUUCGCUUUAUGUAUGAGCAAAUAAAAAGGAAGCCAGCAUGUUUUUUUUCCUCAAGAGGUUUCACUAUACUAAUUCCAAAUCUUAGCCUAAAUGUAUUUAUCUUGCUUACGGCAACUGAAAAAAAUAUGCAUCUCUUUAUCUUUCAAUUUACAUCGUUGUCAGUGCUGCUUUGCACCUUCCUCUCAGUUGAUGGGGCCAAAUGUUUUCAUGCACACAAGUGUGCCCAAAGCAGAUUAAGAAUUUAAGACGAUUUAAUGAACUCAUGAUUGUAAUCUAGGGUUAAUUUAUUUUGAUGCACUUUAACCCCCAUCCUAUCCACACAGUCUUAUGGCUUGAAGCCAAACCGUGUCCAUGUGUGUUUUAGGGGUGUGUGCAUGUGUGUCCACUGUGCAACUGGUCAUUAAUUACUCGGAGGCAGGCACACCACUGAUCAGACCCCCAUGGUUUUUCCUCAUUGCCUACAGCAAUGCAACAAUUCCCUUAGUGACCAUGUUUAGAUGAGAGUAACCGUCACUCUAUUGUUGGCCUGCACACUCACUGUACACUUAUUUUCUCAGCCAAGGCAGGUGGUCUGCUCAGUGAGGUCAUACUGUCUGAAACAUAAGGAGGGCGCAGGAGGGGGGUCAGUCUCAUGGUCAGGACUCGAGACUAAAAACAAUGCUGAGGCUCCAGUGGCUUUCUAUUUCAGAUGCUUUCACUUUUAGUUUUACGACGAUGCUGUAUGCAUUUGAGACAGACAUUAGGAAGAAAAAUACUUUGCAUAUUACUUAUAAUAGAGCACGCCCGCCACCCGCGUGAGGAUAAGCGGUACAGCAGAUGAACGAAUUAAUGAGAUUCCAGGGUAAGCCAAAACAGUCAUCAUGCCACGCCACAUAGUGGAUAGUGUGGAAAAAGCGAUUCAAAAAGGAGAAGAAGGUUGGUUCAGAUCUGACAGGUCAGUGCACGGGAGAAAAAAAAAGAUGGCAACCACAUGGCCUUUUUCAGCACAUGAGGAAAUGUGUGUUGCUUUGUUGUUUGUUGAUCACAAUUCAUGUAUGUGGUUGUGCAUGUUUUUAAUUUAACCUAGACUAUUACUGAUGUAACUUCCAGCUUUCUGUCCUAACCUUAAUACUUCAUUUGGAGAGGAAAAAUACUAUGUAUUGUAAGGCUUUUAUUUAAAAAUCACCAAACAGAGUUUAUUUAUAUUACAUUACAUUCUCAAAAUAAAGCCCUACUUAUUACAAUACAGGGUCAUUUUCAAAAUAGAAACCUUACUGUACGUGGUCAUUUUCAAAAUAAAAGCCUAUUUUGAAACCUUACUUCUAAAUAAUACAUGCAAACAUAGUGUUUACACGAGUAAAUGAUAGCAUGUUUACUGGCUUGUAUGUCGUCUACUAGGUGAAUUGGAGAUCUGACGUCGAACGAAUCCUGACUUUCCCGUCCACGAAGGAGUCAAUGGGUGAACUGCCUUCCUUCCCGUGCAUCAACGCCAGCAGUGGACCACACUGAACUGGUGUUGGGCGCUUCAACACAUCUAUGCGGCAGUGGGGACUGGCGGACAGUGCGGCAUGCGAGUGCAGUGACCCCGAGCAGACAGCCGACCACAUCAUCAACACCUGCCCCCCAAAUAGACCACCCUCGGAGGCCGGCCUCUUUGAUCUGGGACCAAAGAUGCUGGCGUGGCUCCACGACACCAAGUUGGAGCUCUGACAUUACACAAAAGAGAUAGAACGGAUCAGUCAGUGAACGUGUUGCGUCUCCUGGCGUGAACUAUGUAAGCCAGAAUGUAGAUUUACGAUUUGCCAAUAAUAAUAAUAUAUACGCCUAAAUAGUUUUUCCAAUAUAUCUACUGCAAUUUCACAUUAGAUUGCUGGUCUGAAUGUACUAUUAUUAUUAUUAUUUUAAUAAACAUUUGUUAAAACUUGUCUGCUGUUUUAUUCCUUGUUUUUAUAUUCGCCAAUUAAAACAAAAAUCUGACAUUUGGUUACCUGCCUUAUAUGACAAUAUGUAUGUGUUUUACGUUGUUAUAUGAGUUGGUGUUCCCCAAAAUAAAAAAUGUCAGCAUAAUGGA